AUUGAACGCUGGCGGCAGGCCUAACACAUGCAAGUCGAGCGGAUGACGGGAGCUUGCCCCUUGAUUCAGCGGCGGACGGGUGAGUAAUGCCUAGGAAUCUGCCUGGUAGUGGGGGACAAAGUAUCGAAAGGAACGCUAAUAAAGCAUAUGUCCGACGGGAGAAAGAAGGGGACAUUCGGGCCUUGCGCUAAAAGAUGAGCCUAGGUCGGAUUAGCUAGUUGGUGAGGGAAUGGCUAACCAAGGCGACGAUCCGUAACUGGUCUGAGAGGAUGAUCAGUCACACUGGAACUGAGACACGUUCCAGACUCCUACGGGAGGCAGCAGUGGGGAAUAUUGGACAAUGGGCGAAAGCUUGAUCCAGCCAUGCCGCGUGUGUGAAGAAGGUCUUCGGAUUUUAAAGCACUUUUAGUUGGGAGGAAGGGCAGUAAGUUAAUACCUUGCUGUUUUGACGUUACCGACAGAAUAAGCACCGGCUAACUCUGUGCCAGCAGCCGCCGUAAAAC
rnacentral:rRNA from 1 species